rnacentral:ncRNA from 1 species
GUCGGGAGGCUGGGGAAAUACAAUACCCGAAAGGGAAAUACCCCGGGCAGUGCCUUUUGCUGUUUUCACCCUCCUGGCCACCCAA